CGUAGGUGGCGAGCGUUAUCCGGAAUUACUGGGCGUAAAGCGUGUGCAGGCGGGCGGCCAAGUGGUGUAUGAAAUCUCCGGGCUAAACCGGGAGUGGUUAUGCCAGACUGGUCGUCUUGAGUGCGAGAGAGGAGCGUGGAAUUCCGGGUGUAGUGGUGAAAUGCGUAGAGAUCCGGAGGAACCCCAGAGGCGAAGGCGGCGCUCUGGCUCGCAACUGACGCUCAGACACGACAGCAUGGGGAGCGAACGGGAUUAGAAACCCCGGUAGUCCAUGCCGUAAACGAUGCUCACUAGGCGCUGCGGGACUCAACCCCCGCGGUGCCGCAGCUAACGCGAUAAGUGAGCCGCCUGGGGAGUACGGCCGCAAGGCUA
rnacentral:rRNA from 1 species